UGGGUUUGACAUGGACUGGGAGUGCUCAGAGAUGGGUACGCCUCCUUGUGGGGCUGGUUCAC
rnacentral:rRNA from 1 species